CAAAUGCAGAGAGGUGACCAAUAUGCGCAUGUAGUUUUUUUAGGAUCAAGCGAGCGAAGACAUGUAAGUGCAUUUGGAGAUAUAGAGACUAUAAUGGGGGUGUCACAUACAGAACAUCUGGAGAUCAAUAUUGUUUAUCUGUGUUCCGCGGAAAAGGAAUAUAUCAAACGGAGUCCAAA